AACAGAAUUGAAUAGAGAAGAGAUAGGUAUAAUAUUGCCCGUCACCUGGUUGUGGGCGGCGGCUCGGGUCUUGGAAUGACCCUCAAGAUGCUGGCCAUCGCUCACCAUGCCUUUAACAUCUACCAUCCUAAAAACUAACUUAAGUAGGAGAGAUUAGGGUACGUUAAAGCUAGAACUAAGACUAAGACCUCCAUGUCCAGCCUGCUAAACUAUUUACGAUAUACAAUAGAGAGGUAACUGAUUUUGUGCUCGGCUCAAAGUUGCUAAUGGAAGGGUAUUUAUGGUAAAAGUAAUAAAGGUAAUGACGCUAACGGUUUGUGUUGAGCCUACAAGGCUCCUAGUAGAGAACAUCAGGCGCAAGCACCUCCCGGCCCCGCCGACAGCACGAACUGAACAGUGGUUUUCCCGGAUCUACCAAAGAUAUCCGUCGGGUUGGGCUCAAAAGAGAGGGACCACAAUUAAGAUCCUUCCAUCCAGACUGUGCGCUGCCUCUUAACGGAAGGCGUAUGUCCCUUGAAGAGAUACCUAGCCUUAAUCUCUUAUUAGACAUGGAGGUACUGUUAUCUAUUUACAUAUUUACAUAUAAGGUGCAAUCUGUUUUUAGGAUUGUGUGUGUCUUGUGCACCUCUUGUCGGUUGUUCCAGACUGUUCUUUGAAGUGGACUUGGUUGACACUAUGGAUCAUCCGCGCUGGACGCUUCAAUAUCUGUGUUGGUGCCCUGGUCUGUAACUGUUUCUUCUUCAUCACUCCUAGUGCUAAUCAUGUCUGUGUCCCCCUGGGCAUCAUGAUGUCUG